rnacentral:rRNA from 1 species
ACUCCUACGGGAGGCAGCAGUGGGGAAUAUUGCACAAUGGGGGAAACCCUGAUGCAGCCAUGCCGCGUGUGUGAAGAAGGCCUUCGGGUUGUAAAGCACUUUCAGUAGGGAGGAAGGUAGUGUAGUUAACACCUGCAUCUUAGAUUCGACUGUUACCCUACAGAAGAAGCACCGGCUAACUCCGUGCCAGCAGCCGCGGUAAUACGGAGGGUGCGAGCGUUAAUCGGAAUUACUGGGCGUAAAGCGCAUGCAGGCGGCCUGUUAAGUCAGAUGUGAAAGCCCGGGGCUUAACCUCGGAAUUGCAUUUGAAACUGGCAGGCUAGAGUCUUGUAGAGGGGGGUAGAAUUUCAGGGUGUAGCGGUGAAAUGCGUAGAGAUCUGAAGGAAUACCAGUGGCGAAGGCGGCCCCCUGGACAAAGACUGACGCUCAGAUGCGAAAGCGUGGGGAGCAAACAGGAUUAGAUACCCUGGUAGGAUAG